AAGAACUCAGAGAGCCCCAGCCUCUAGUUGGUUUUACAAGAAAGUUAUAAAAAUUUUUCUCUUGAUCAGACUGGUGAACUAGUAAAGCAGAGGGCUGCAGUUGUUAAAUGUUGCUGUCUCAUAUUUUCUGUUGUUUGGCUCUAUGUUUUCCAUUCUAGUUUUUACUCUGUUUCUUAUUGCUUUACCUGUUUUUCUGGCUUGGGGUAUCUGGAUAUAUGAACCACAAGACUGAUAAGAAUUCAAUGCUUGAGGCCAGUGGGAAGCUUUGAAAAACCUAGGGCCCUGCUACAGCACCAUUGUGACUGUGGAGAACUGGACCUCCCCUUCCUGAAUUGCAACAUUGCAGAAGGCAGAAUAAUCCUCUUCCGGGUCAAAAUCUGGAUUAUCACUUGAAGGACGUGUCCAGAAGAUGUUAGCACUGAUCAUUUUUACUAUAUCAGAAUACGCUGAUUCAACAAUUACACCACGAUUAGUUGAAACAUACUCAACCAGUUCAUUCAGCGUUGCUCUUUUAAUUUCUUUGCUCUUCAAGUCUGAAACAGAGUCCAUGAAAUCAAACAGUACACAGCACUGUUGUAGCUUCUGGCAGAAACGCUCUUUCUGUUCAUUUGAAGUGGCAUCUUUGAGCUGGGGCAGGGGGUGCAGCUCCGCCUGGCUGCCCUGGCUGUGGAACUGCGACGAGCCCUGAGAGCGCUUCUGCCUCUGUGCCUUGCGCACCGAUCAGGUGAAGCCGUCCACAACUGGUGCGAGUGGCGACGGCGACUUCUCUCGGAGACCCGGGCGCUCGGCCCCUCCCGCAGCGGCUGGCCCGGGCAAUCGGCAGGGGACCGGCACGGCGGGCCUGCGCCCCUGCACCCCGGGCCCAGGCCGCGCCGCCCUCACGCUCCGCAAGCUGCUCUUCACGGGACAGCGCCUCGCGGCCGUGUCCCCGCGCCAGGCAGCCGCCUCCCGGGGCUGGCGGAGGGGAAGGUGGGGGAGGGCGGUGGCGUGCGGGCCGCACAAGCUGCUGACGCCCGACUACGAGGGCUGACAGAGGUGAGCCCGAGUUGGACCGCUGGAGCGAGCCUCGCGGCCCCUUAGCGCACGGAGUCCGGACAAGUCUUCAGCUGCUGUCGCCCGCGCUGUCCGCCAGCCAGGAGCCUCCUCCCGGGGCGCUUCCAUCUCCGGUCUGUGCGAGCCACUGCUCAGCGCUCGCUCGUUCUCAUGUCAGCGAUGGACCCCUCCUCGCCCGGGGCGGCCACCAGCACCCAGAUCCUUGGAGCUUCGCCCUUGCUCAGCCUCCGGCGCCCACAGAGCACACCCGGGGAGCAACUUGAGAGGGUGGCUGGUACUCGGUGCGCAUGCCACAGUUCUUAAAGAUACAAUAUAAAGGUCUAGUCUUCUUAAAAACUGAUAUUACAAACUGUUAGGGAUGAUAAAAACACAAGUUACACGCUUUUAGGGAUGGUUAAGAAAUGUAGCUGUCCAGUGGCCACGGAAAACUGGGUCUGAUUAGCCUUCUCAGGGCUGGGGGAAGAGCACAAUUCCCCUUUUUUUAUUUUUUGAAAGAUGAGUGGAAAGGGGACACAAAAUUUACUUGUAUUCUAUGAUCCCACCUAGGAAAUAUGGUGACUAGGCGGCCGUGUCUGCUUAGGUCUGGGUCUAUAUUACUACUCCUUACCGGUCUAGUAGAACAAGCGAAGCUUGUUGGUGUUUGUUUGGCACUUGUCUCUGUCUUAGGUCGACAGGAGCUCAAGAAUGCCAGUUGCCCACCAACUGAUCACCAGCCUUCAAAAGCACACAUUUUCCCCAUUCAGACCAAAGCCAUGAAGGGCAUAUGAAUAUGCACUCAAUGCAUUUCUUCAUAGGUAUGAGUAACUGCCAUGGUGAAUAACUGAGCUUGCUGAGGGUGAUACUGUGUAAAGGCAACCAAUCUGCUUAAGAUAAAAAGUCAAAGGUUAAAAGCAACAAGAUUAAAGUUGUCUGC
ensembl:processed_transcript Gm12100 predicted gene 12100